AUACGGAGGGUGCAAGCGUUAUCCGGAAUCAUUGGGUUUAAAGGGUCCGCAGGCGGAUUAAUAAGUCAGUGGUGAAAUCCUCUCGCUCAACGAGAGAACUGCCAUUGAAACUGUUAGUCUUGAAUUCGGUCGAAGUAGGCGGAAUGUGUCAUAUAGCGAUGAAAUGCAUAGAUAUGACACAGAACACCGAUAGCGAAGGCAGCUUACUAGACCUGGAUUGACGCUCAUGGACGAAAGCGUGGGGAGCGAACAGGAUUAGAAACCCCAGUAGUCC
rnacentral:rRNA from 1 species